GCCGUGCACAACGGUUUCGCUAGUACGGACCCGUCGUCUUUGCUGGCCUUAACCAUUUCCCGUGUGAUGUCGCCAGUCAAUUCGCAUAGUACCGUAUUUUCUAGUGCGAACGAGCAGUUGUGAAGGUCACGAGUAGGUACUUGUGCUUCGUCAUUUGAUACUUGCGAUAACGAAGAAUAAUGUAGUAUACAAGACAACAGAAAUGCACAUAACAUAAUUACAAAACAGUUUUUACUGACAAUAAAUGAUUGACAGUCGAAUCUCCCGUAAGUCGAAUAUCUGUAACUCCAAAUAUUUCUUAGUUUGAAUAUUUUUUGUUCCCUUGGAAUACAUAGGCAUAUUCAAAAUGUUCUCGAGUGUCUCUGGAAUGCCCUUAGCUAGAGUGUACUAGAAUAAACUGGAAGAGUCGAGAACCUUUAUGUAUUAGUGGUAAGAAUGACUUUGACCGCCGUAUUAGACUAUCUUAUACAUCUAAAAAAAAAGGGCUUUCUGGCCGUUGUUUUUGGAAAUUAUUUUGCGACGUUUCACGUACAACUGCUGCAGGCAUUUUCAGGGUUACGUUGCUGCCCCUCUUGGUCAUACUUGCCUUGCUAGCACUAUACAGCCGUAGGGCGGUGCGAGCGGUGUCACCACACAAGAUGCCAACAUAGCGAGAGCGUCAAAAUCCAUUAAACCACAACACCAGCCACCGUCCCAGCGACGCCAAUGGAAAUUUUCCGAAUUCCCUGAAAACCUACGAAAUAAUUCCUAAAUUUAAGAGAAAUUAACCACCUAUUUAUUCCCUACAAAUUUCCCACACAAUAGUCUCAAGAAAAGAGAACUACGUGGGGCAUAAUCCCAAGAAUGUAAUUGUAUAGACAGAACAUUAUCCAAUGUUUUGUAUUAAGAGGGGCGUCAUUUUAAAGGGAUAUAUAUACAAGGGCAAAAAAUUAGUAUGCUUAGAUUUGCAGAUGAUAUAGCAGUAUUAGCAUCUAGCAGGAAGGAGUUAGAGAGAUUUAACUUAAUUUAGAGAGCUUUAAAUAAAAUAGCAGCGAUAUUGACAAAACAGUACUGCAUGAAAAUAAA